rnacentral:rRNA from 1 species
GACAGCAGUAGCCGCGGUAAUACAGAGGGUGCGAGCGUUAAUCGGAUUUACUGGGCGUAAAGCGUGCGUAGGCGGCUUUUUAAGUCGGAUGUGAAAUCCCUGAGCUUAACUUAGGAAUUGCAUUCGAUACUGGGAAGCUAGAGUAUGGGAGAGGAUGGUAGAAUUCCAGGUGUAGCGGUGAAAUGCGUAGAGAUCUGGAGGAAUACCGAUGGCGAAGGCAGCCAUCUGGCCUAAUACUGACGCUGAGGUACGAAAGCAUGGGGAGCAAACAGGAUUAGAUACCCCUGUAGUCCCUGUCUCUUAUAA